UACCGGCUUCACUGCCAUUCCACAACGCUUUAAGAAUAUGCCGACUAGUCACGUGACAAUAACGUGGACGCUUCCGAGAGAACAGGUGACAAGUCUCGUGGGUCACUGCAGCAAACUAGCAGCGGUUCAUCAAGUAUUUGGAAUUACUUCACUGGAGUUAAUCGCCCAUUCUACCGUGACAUGCAAAAUACGUCCAGCUCCCGGUCGCCGUGGAUAGGUUCUGGCAGGUUCAGGCCCUUUGCUUCUCUCCCAGGAGAAACACAGGACUUGGAGUUGUCUCCCAGCUUUCAUCGAGGCAGAAGACAAGGAAACACCCAGGACAGG